UAAGGAAUAUUGGUCAAUGGACGCAAGUCUGAACCAGCCAUGCCGCGUGGAGGAUGAAGGCCCUCUGGGUUGUAAACUUCUUUUCUUUGGGACGAAACCCCUGUUUCUACGGGGACUGACGGUACCAGAGGAAUAAGCACCGGCUAACUCCGUGCCAGCAGCCGCGGUAAUACGGAGGGUGCAAGCGUUAUCCGGAUUCACUGGGUUUAAAGGGAGCGUAGGUGGGCUUUUAAGUCAGUGGUGAAAUCUUUGGGCUUAACCCGAAAACUGCCAUUGAUACUAUUAGUCUUGAAUUCUCUGGAGGUAAGCGGAAUAUGUCAUGUAGCGGUGAAAUGCUUAGAUAUGACAUAGAACACCCAUUGCGAAGGCAGCUUACUACGGAGACAUUGACACUGAGGCUCGAAAGCGUGGGGAUCAAACA
rnacentral:rRNA from 1 species